UGGGGUUGGCCCAUAGGUGGCCUUUGAAAGGUAGGGUUGGUUUGGUGGGGAAAAGGGCACUCUUUAGAGAAAUGCCCAGGCUUACCACAAUUGAAGCAAGGGUAAUUGUGGCUGGGUGAAGCAGUGGGGCGAACACCCGGGGCGUUCGGCUGGCGUGGUGCAAAAGCGAUGGCAGUAGGUCGAGAAUAUACCUGCUGCCCGGGUCUGUACUGUGGAGGGGAGAAAGGACCACGAUAAGGUAACGGCGCUUGGAAACGUCCGUGGCCCUGUGGAUGAUAAAUG
rnacentral:lncRNA from 1 species